rnacentral:rRNA from 1 species
UACGAGGGGGGCAAGCGUUGUUCGGAAUUAUUGGGCGUAAAGAGCUCGUAGGCGGUUUGUCGCGUCGGCCGUGAAAUCUCCACGCUUAACGUGGAGCGUGCGGUCGAUACGGGCAGACUUGAGUUCGGUAGGGGAGACUGGAAUUCCUGGUGUAGCGGUGAAAUGCGCAGAUAUCAGGAGGAACACCGGUGGCGAAGGCGGGUCUCUGGGCCGAUACUGACGCUGAGGAGCGAAAGCGUGGGGAGCGAACAGG